GACGAACGCUGGCGGCGUGCUUAACACAUGCAAGUCGAGGGGGAGUAGGGGCAACUCUACUUCACCGGCGAACGGGUGCGUAACACGUGAGCGACCUACCCUGGUGUGGGGGAUAGCCGGCCCAACGGCCGGGUAAUACCGCAUACGCUCUGUGAGGGGCAUCCCUUGGAGAGCAAAGCUGUGGGGCAACUCACGGCGCAUUGGGAGGGGCUCGCGGCCUAUCAGCUAGUUGGCGAGGUAACGGCUCACCAAGGCGACGACGGGUAGCUGGUCUGAGAGGAUGGCCAGCCACAUUGGGACUGAGAGACGGCCCAGACUCCUACGGGAGGCAGCAGUGGGGAAUCUUGCGCAAUGGGCGGAAGCCUGACGCAGCGACGCCGCGUGC
rnacentral:rRNA from 1 species